rnacentral:rRNA from 1 species
UACAGAGGGGGCGAGCGUUGUUCGGAAUUACUGGGCGUAAAGGGCGCGUAGGCGGCCUUCUAAGUCGAACGUGAAAUCCCCGGGCUCAACCCGGGAACUGCGUCCGAUACUGGGAGGCUUGAAUCCGGGAGAGGGAUGUGGAAUUCGAGGUGUAGCGGUGAAAUGCGUAGAUAUCUGGAGGAACACCGGUGGCGAAGGCGGCAUCCUGGACCGGUAUUGACGCUGAGGCGCGAAAGCCAGGGGAGCAAACGGG